rnacentral:rRNA from 1 species
CACAUCUAAGGAAGGCAGCAGGCGCGCAAAUUACCCAAUCCUGACUCAGGGAGGUAGUGACAAGAAAUAACAAUAAACCGGCUUAUGCCGGUUUAAUUGGAAUGAGUACAAUUUAAACAUCUUAACGAGGAACAAUUGGAGGGCAAGUCUGGUGCCAGCAGCCGCGGUAAUUCCAGCUCCAAUAGCGUAUACUAAAGUUGUUGCAGUUAAAAAGCUCGUAGUUGGAUUUCUGUGGGGACGGAGCGGCCGGCCGCAACACGCGGUUCGAGCUAGCGCUUUCCCUACAUCCUGCCGCGAACCGUGCUACCAUUAGUUUGGUGGCGCCGGGGAUCGGCUCGAUUACUUUGAGAAAAAUAGAGUGUUCAAAGCAGGCCACACGCCUUGAAUAAGUUAGCAUGGAAUAAUAACUAAGGACUUCGGUUCUAUUUUGUUGGUGUUCGGGACUGAAGUAAUGAUUGAUAGGGACAGUUGGGGCGGUCUGUAUUCCAAAGCGAGAGGUGAAAUUCUUAGACCUUCUGAAGACAAACAGCUGCGAAAGCGUUCCGCAAGGAUGUUCCCUUUGAUCAAGAACGAAAGUUGGGGGAUCGAAGACGAUCAGAUACCGUCGUAGUCUCAACUAUAAACUAUACCAGCUAGGGAUCGGCCAACGUUAUUCUAUACCGACUUGGUCGGCACCUUAUGAGAAAAUCAAAAGCAUCUGGGUUCCGGGGGGAGUAUGGCCGCAAGGCUGAAACUUAAAGGAAUUUGACGGAAGGGCACCACCAGCCGUGGAGCCUGUGGCUUAAUUUGACUCAACACGGGAAAACUUACCAGGUCCAGACAUAGUAAGGAUUGACAGAUUGAUAGCUCUUUCUUGAUUCUGUGGGUGGUGGUGCAUGGCCGUUCUUAGUUGUGGGAGUGAAUUUGUCUGGUUAAUUCCGUUAACGAACGAGACCCCAGCCUGCUAAAUAGCGCGUGUGAGCUUUGCUCGCAGCGAGCUUCUUAGAGGGACUAUGAUGCGCGAUAGCACAUGGAAGUUUGGGGCAAUAACAGGUCUGUGAUGCCCUUAGAUGUUCUGGGCCGCACACGGGCUACACUGGCGCCUGCAACGAGCAUAUCAGCUGGCCCGAGAGGGUCUUGGCUAAUCUUUUGAACCGGCGCCGUGCUUGGGAUUGACCUUUGCAAUUGUUGGUCAUGCAACGAGGAAUGCCUUGUAAACGCGAGUCAUCAGCUCGCAUUGAAUACGUCCCUGCCCUUUGUACACACCGCCCGUCGCUCCUACCGAUGAAUGUUCCGAUGAAAUUUUCGGAGAGUGCCUGUGAACUUGGCUCUGCCUUGCGAACGGGAAGCUCAAAGUCGCUUAAAUCUGAACAUUUCGAGG